GUACCACCCCAGGACCCUCCCGGGCUCCCCCUCCUUAUCAUCCGGGUUUCCUGUUUUUUCUUCUUUCUUUUGUUAAUACCACCCAAUGAGUUUUUCUUAUCAAAUAUCACAUUUUAAAAAAAUCUCUAGGGCUGGGGCUGUAGCUCAUUGAUAGAGCACCUGCCUCGCACGUGUGAGCCAUUGGGUUUGAUCCUCAGCACCACAUAAAAAUAAAUAAAGAUACUGUGUCAAUCUACAACCAAAAAAAAUUUACUAAAACAACAACAACAACAAAACCCCACAAACCUCUAGAGUUGGUGCACCGUGGCGCACACCUGUAAUCCCAGUGGCUCAGGAGGCGGAGGCAGGAGGAUCGCAAGUUCAAAGCCAGCCUCAGUAAUUUAGUGAGAUGCUAAGCACCUCAGUGAGACCCUGUCUCUAAAAAAAUACAAAACAGGGCUGGGACGUGGCUCAGUGGUCGAGUGCCCCUGAGUUGAAUCCCUGGUACCUCCCCCGCCUCAAAAAAAAGUCACUAGAAGUUAUUUUUUUGGCGUACUGGGUGCUCUGCCACUGAGCUGCAUCCCAGGCUCUCACAAGUUGCUGGGGCUGACCUUGAAGGUGUGAUUCUCCUGCUCUGGCCGACCCGCGGGAUUCCAGGAGUGCACCGCAUGCCGUCCUUGAUUGCUCGUCUGACAGCACGGUCAACGCUCUUCUCGUCACUCACGUUCAUUUUCUUCUUUUUUUUUUUUUAAUAUUUAUUAUUUAUUUAUUUUUUAGUUUUCAGCAGACACAACAUCUUUGUUUGUAUGUGGUGCUGAGGAUCGAACCCGGGCCGCACGCAUGCCAGGCGAGCGCCCUACUGCUUGAGCCACAUCCCCAGCCCCUCAUUUUCUUCUAAAUACAUUAACACACAGUUCUUUCUCCUGUUUCUGUCACCAAUGAUCACCUCUUGCCUUUCGAGACUGCAUUUCCUGCCCUCUGGGUCUUCUGUGGUCUAGAUGCUGCUGGGCACCUGUCCCUCUGCUGGCCUGCAUCCUGGAGCCGGGCUCCUGCAGUCCACCCAUCUUCCCUCCCACCGAGGACGGCAGGCCUAUGCUACCUGUGUCCAGCUUUUUAGUUGCACAUGGGGAACCACAGCCUGGCAGAAGCAGAAAGGCGUGGAGCCCGUCCAUGUUCCCAGGACAAACACCACUAGAAAGCAGGCCGCGGGGGUGGGGGGUUCUUCACCUAUUUGCUUUGCUUUAAAAGUCACUUCAACGUGGGUUACUUUCCUGAGUGGAGUAACAAUUUCGAAAGAGCUACUUGGGCAUCCGUUUCCCGAUUCCUGAACCUUAAAGGGUCCUCGGCACUUGUUAGGGCGAGUCAGGCCAACUGGGGAGGCCACACCUGUACCCCAGUGACUUGGGAAGCCACGGCAGGAGCACUGUGAGUUUGAGGCCAGACUCAGCAACUUGCCAAGAGCCUGUCUCAAAAAGUUAAGAGCACUGGGUGCAGCUCAGUGGCAGAGAAGCUGCCACAGAGAAAGAUGAGUCAGCAAGGCACCGGCAGACGGAGGUCGCCCACCCCAGCCAGGGCGAUGACCACCACGCUGUUCCCUCAUUUCCCCAGCUGCGGUCAGCUGUGCCCACGGCUUCGGAGGUCACAGAUGAGAGGGGUGCUCCAUCACUGAGCUACACCCCAGCGGGGCUGGCCUUGAAACCCGUGAUCCUCCUGCGUCUGCCUCCCAAAUCGCUGGGAUUACAGGCCUGCACCACCAGACCACCCUCAGCUUGUGCAACCUUUUUAAAAUAAGUUUUUCUUCAUGGAAAAGCUAAUACUCCCCCCCCCCCUUUUCUUGGUACUGGGGAUUGGACCUGGGGUGCUCUACCACUGAGCUACACCCAACCCUCUUUAUUGUUCAGAGACAAGACAGGAUCUCACUAAAUCGCCCAGGAGCCUUGAAUCUGCAACUUUUUGGCUUCAGCCUCCCCAAACACUGGGAUCACAGGCGUGUAAUCCUGCUGCCCGACUAGUGUGAUCUACACUGGGAUCACAGGCAUGUGAUCCUGCUGCCCGACUAGUGUGAUCUACACUGGGAUCACAGGCGUGUGAUCCUGCUGCCCGACUAGUGUGAUUUUCCAAAGAACAAAACUAAACAUUAGGAGACUGGGGUUGUGGCUCAGCAGUGGAUCACUUGCCUUGCAUGUGUGAGGCACUGGAUUCGAAUCUCAGCACCACAUAAAAAUAAAUAAAUAAAGACAUUGUGUCCGUCUACAACUAAAAAAACAUUUAAAAAUGACUUCAGCAUUUCUUUCUAAGCUGUGGCCUCUGCUGGAGGAUGAGAUGAGGAGUGAGAACCUGCAGGAAAGCCCUCCCUGCUCUGACCAGGUGGGACCUGUAGGGCCGAGUGGGAGAGACCCCAACCCUCCUGCCUGCCCUGUCUCCAGCAGCCACAUUCCUGGGGUUUGACCUUUGCACUCCGGCCACACCCUCUCUCCGGCCUGGCCUUCCUCUGCACAGCUGCGGGGAGAGCAGGAGUGCUCCACGGCCCUCCCGCAAGGCCACUUCUGCCCUGCAGCUUCCUGCCCUUCCCAGGGAAGAGGUGCCUUUCAGCUGCACCCUCAUGCCUAGCUCUCCUGGUCUCCCUGAGCAAGAUGCAAGUCCUCAGUAGCAGAGAGCCAGAUCUGAAAUGGCCCCCAGCUAGGGACAGGGCCAGCCUCCUUGGAAACUUAAGAACUGCGAAUAAAACAAUGCUGAAUACCA